GAUUGUAAGCUUUCUGAAGAACGUCAGAUAGGUAUAAGGAACAAAAAAAAGAAGCCGCAUGCAAAAAAACGAUCGCUGGUUUCCAGAUGCACAGGGAAAAUGUUUAGUAUUCCUCAGAACAGUUUGCUCCAGACAGUUCGUCAGAAGUGCAAAAAUUUAGAGGUUGGGGUCUUCGAUGAUCUCAAGAUGGUUCAUAAAUUUAGAGGCUCCUCCUCAUCUUCCUUGACGUCCUGGGGAUGGCAUAGCGGAGACAGCAGCAGGAGUCCGUCGAACGCUUAGAGUCUGGUGGUCGUCACGGCCGGUCAGGGUGGCGGCGAUAUCAGAAUCUAUCAGAAUUUUGGACUGCCCCUUCGGCUCAGUUGGCAAACCAAUCUAUUCAGCAUCCACCAGAUGGAGUCAUGUGGCCAACGGUAACGGAUGAUUCAGAUCCAAGAUCAAGUUGGUAUUGAAAAGACUAGGAAGUAGGAGGCUUUCCGUGAUGGAGUUGAAGACACAUCAUGUCAGAAACCCACAAUUGCA